UACUAAGAACUGUGCACACACUACCGUGCACGAAUCUAUCGAACACAAAGCAGGAUAAAUCUCCCCUACUACCUAUAGAAAUACCAAAUCCCCUCGAGUGCAUCAGUACAAUCAACAUGUGGAAGCUGGGGUGGCAGACGACAUUCCUUUUAUACAGCUGGAUAUACUGUAUACUCAAGAAAUUCAGCAUGCAUAGUGUGACAAGACAUUCCUUUUAUACAGCUGGAUAUACUGUAUACUCAAGAAAUUCAGCAUGCAUAGUGUGACAAGGUAGGAAGUCGCGUCAGUAACUCCGCCCCCUUACCUGCAUGGUAACCCGUAUAUUGCAUGCCAAGAACAAUAGUCAUGCCAGCGUCCUUUUUGGAAGAAUGGCGUGGCGCUGGCGCAGAUGAAGGGAUAAAGUAGGUGCCAACACGAAAUCCACGAAAGUGUAACGCAUCGUUUGACCGGUAUGUUUUAAAUAUGCUACUAUUUUAUGGUAUAUUUAUUGAUUGGUGUUUGGUUCAAAUGCGCUCCUUAAACGAGGGCAAUGUUAAUGUUUCAUGUUAGAAUUAUUGGGGUCCUGUUUAUGAUUACUGUUGCUUUGUGCAUGCUGUAUGUUUGUUGCUCUCUUUAAAAGAGUAUGUAUAAUGCAUGUUUAAUUUGCGGGUUUUCCGCUCUCUUUUAAGGAGCGUGCAGGAUGAGUGAUAUGUCGUGGCAGCUAUUUCUUUAUUUACUGGCUUUUAUUCGGCCAGGAUUCACAGUUGUGUUACUUCAGUAAGUAAUUUAAUAAUGUUUUAACGUUAUUAGUAUGUAAAUGUCAUUGCCAGUGUUACAGCAGUAAUUUAAGAAUGUUUUCAUUUCAUUACUGUGUAUUGCGUUUCUUUUCCUUUCCUUUCCUUUUGUAGAACCAGUGCCGUGGUUUUAGUUUGGUUGUUCACUUAGCGAAGUUUACGCAAACUUUUAAGACGGAUGUUUCUUCAUAUAAUGGACUGCACUCUGAACUUUAGGAUCUAAUGACUUAUGGAUUGGUACCAACCUGCUGCUACAAAAUGUUUUGAAUUACUGCUUUUUGAAAACACCAACGUUUUUAAUCUUCAAAUUUAUUUAUCUAUACUAAGCAUUUAAUAAUAAAGCUGUUACCUUGUAAUUCUGGCUGGUUGUGUUAUCAAUAGGGGAGGGUA